rfam:Canis lupus familiaris chromosome 2, whole genome shotgun sequence.
AGGAGGAACAGCCCCAGUGGCGGGGCAGCUCUGGAAACCUGGAUUCAGCUCCGGCAGGAACUCCGUCUGCCGGGCCUGGAGGCUCCGGGCGGGG